CCUGAGAAACCCAAAAGAUCGAAUGGGGAGAUUCAUCGUCAGCUCAUUUUGUAUAUAUAUGAGUUAUGAUGCGGGUUACUACUUGUAGUAUUGCCUGCACAUUCUUAUAUAUUUAAUUGCAAGAUGUUGUCGGCGUGCACUUCUCCCCUAGUAGGACGUCGCGACCUGUUGGGUGUCGGUCUACGACUCAAGUGAUAGACUUUGAUGUGUGUAAUUAAAAAAGCAUAUUAAAGAUCCUUGAUGUUUUCUGACCGGCUACUUGGCAGUAUUCGUACGGUAUUUAGCCGCUAAAUUUUUAAUUAAGCGUUUAUAUCCGUCACAAGCGAGGCUAAUUUACUGAUAGUACGGACCUAGUGCCGUCGUUGGUAUUGGCCAGCUGUUGGUUGUAUGGUAUUCUAUAACUGGCUAAAAUUAAUUACCGGUCGGCGAUGCUACUGCUUUGGGUACUUUCAG
rnacentral:rRNA from 1 species